CUUAAUUUGGCGAUCAAGCCUGAGACGUCAUUUCCUGUUUGUAGCGUUGCUGCUAUUGUGUAAACAGCAUGGUGUGCGUUCCUGACUGAAAUUGUGCGUCUGGAAAACAUUUGGAACGGUUCUUGUUGGUCAGCACCUGCGCCACAAAGUCCUUGCGGCUCCUGGAGGCGUGAUGGAACCUCUUGACCAACAGAGCGUGAAACUGCUUGAGGAUCAGCGCGGGCCCUUUGACCUGAGUGGACCCCCUGCCGUCGCUGCAGUCCGACGCCGUGUGGAGAACGUCGCUGGCUGGUGUGGCGUCGUAGCGCUCUGCGGGAUUGAAAACACGUUGGAAGUCAAUUGAGGCGCAGAGAGGAAGCGGGAAAUUGAUUUAUAAACAGCAACGGCGAAAGGUCACAGGGAUGUCGGGGAGAACACAGAUGAGCACACAUGAGAGGCUAACACGGGGGUGAGGGGGGAAAGGAUCGGCCUGCUGACUGCCAAGGCCGAACACCGCCGUGACGCAGACAGAGCAGAGAGACAAGGCGAUAUCACCAGCAUCAACACAUUUGUAUUUUUGUAUAAACAUAUUGUGUCUAACUGGAGUUGUCGGGUUUACCCCCUUCCCUCGGCGACACCUUCAGUGAGGUUAAAAAUGGACCUCCCAAAUAAAUAGAGGAAGCACGCGGGCUGGACUUUUAGAAUGUAGUUUGGAUCUGUAACUAGAAUACAGCCCAAAACACGUCUCCUCAUUGAGACAAAUGGAACUCUGUCUCUGCAUGAUUCCUUGCUUCUCGUCUGUUUAAUAGAUGUCAUCAGUGUUUGAACCUGACAAAUUACCGGCGGAUAUAUUCAUUUCUUAUCGUGUUAAGCAAUAUCAGCUAAGAUUUAUCUGAGAGCCAGAUGCAGUCAUCAAAAGAGCCACAUUUGGCUCUAGAGCCAUAGGUUCCCUACCCCUGCUAUACUGGCUUCCUGUGCACUUAAGAUGUGACUUUAAGGUUUUACUAUCCAUCCAUCCAUCCAUUUUCUACUGCUUAUUCCCUUUUGGGGUCGCGGGGGGCGCUGGCGCCUAUCUCAGCUACAAUCGGGCGGAAGGCGGGGUACACCCUGGACGAGUCGCCACCUCAUCGCAGGGCCAACACAGAUAGACAGACAACAUUCACACUC